ACACCAAGGAUUGUUUUUCUCGCAAUAUUUUUCUGCGGGAUACGGAAAGGACUCAAACUAACUCACCAAGGGUUAGUUUUAGAUUCAUAAAUAUAAAAGGACAAG
rnacentral:ncRNA from 1 species